rnacentral:rRNA from 1 species
AUGAGCCUCGCCGGCUCCGCCCUGGAGGCGGCCCUGCAGGCGGUGGGGCGCGGCCUCGACGCCGCCGGCGACCACCGCCUGCUCUACUGCAAGGGCGCCGGGAGGCUCGUGACGCUCGACGAGGCCCGCGCGCGGGACCUGCCCAUCGGCGGCGGCGUCCUCUGCGGCGUGCCCCCCGACGUCGAGGUGGAGGCCUAUCGCGGCAACCCCGAGCGCAGCCGCCCGCCCCCCGCUGGUGCCGCCCCCGACGAGCCCUUCGUCUGCAGCUUCGACAAGAUGGCGGAGCAUUUCAACAGGAAGGCGAGCUUGCUGGAAACAGUCCCUCUGGGUUCCUUCAACUCGCUCUUCAGCUUUACUGGUUCUUGGAAGAAUGAUGCAGCCGCAACAAAGGCCCUUGCAGUUGAUGGCUAUUCUGUUCCGCUAUAUAGAGUUAAAAUAACUAGUGAUGAACUGAUUCUGCAAGAGAGUGUAAAGCGCGCAAUUCCAUAUACUUGGGAUCCACCAGCAUUGGCUAGCUUUAUCGAGAAUUACGGCACACAUAUUAUUACUUCUGUAAUGGUUGGCGGUAAGGAUGAAGUAUACAUAAAGCAGCAUUCCUCAUCCCAAUUAUCUGAAAUGGAGUUCAGAAAUUAUGUCAGAGAAAUUGGGAACGAGAGGUUCUCAGAUGUGGAGAACAAGUCAAAUGCACCCCCCAUCAAUUAUAGCGAAAAGGACAUGACAGUAAUCUUCAGAAGGAGGGGAGGUUGCGAUCUUGUUCAGAAUUCUGUUGAGUGGAUAAAAACUGUUUCCUCAGCGCCAGAUGUCAUAGGCAUGACAUUUCUCCCUAUUGUUUCACUCGUCGAUGAUAUACCUGGGAAGAAGCACAUUGCUCGUGCCAUUGAUCUAUACUUGACAUACAAACCUCCAAUUGAAGAGUUACAAUACUUCUUAGAUUUCCAAGUUCCACUAGUUUGGGCUCCAGUACCACUGGGUAUUGCUGGACAAAAUAGAAAAGAGCCUGUGUGCCCGUCACUUCAGUUCAGCUUGAUGGGCCCAAAGCUAUUUGUUAGCACAGAACAGGUAUCUGUUGGGCGUCGACCAAUCACUGGCCUGAGGCUGUACUUGGAAGGAGCAAAACAGAACCGUCUGGCUAUUCAUUUGCAGCACCUUGGCUCGUUACCAAAGAUAUUUCUACCUCAUUGGGACUCCCAUAUCACAAUCGGACCACCAAAAUGGCAAGGGCCUGAAGAGCAGGAUAGCCGAUGGUUUGAACCAAUCAAGUGGAAGAAUUUUGCUCAUGUCAGCACUGCGCCCAUAGAGUACACCGAAACAAAUAUCACGGAUCUGUCUGGCGUUUAUAUUGUCACGGGAGCACAAUUAGGAGUGUGGGAUUUUGGCGCAAAGAGCGUGCUCCACCUUAAACUUUUGUUCUCCAGAGUUCCUGGGUGCACAAUCAGGAGAUCAGUGUGGGACCACAGUCCAAGUUCUGGGAUGCAUAGAACAGAUGAAGCUUCAUCGUCCUCAAGUGACAAUGCUAAACUUGUGAAGAUUGUCGACAUGACAGAGACGUUGAAGGGCCCACAAGACGCACCUGGCCAUUGGCUGGUCACAGGAGCAAAAUUAGGCGUGGAGAAGGGCAGGAUUAUUGUACGUGCAAAAUACUCCUUAUUGAACUAUUGA